GGGGCUGUAGCGCAGAGGGAGCGCGUUUCCUUCGCACGGAAAAGGCCGGGGGUUCGAGUCCCCCCAGCUCCACCA
rnacentral:tRNA from 2 species